rnacentral:rRNA from 1 species
CGCUGGCGGCGUGCCUAAUACAUGCAAGUCGAACGCACUCUCGUUAGAUUGAAGAAGCUUGCUUCUGAUUGAUACAUUUGAGUGAGUGGCGGACGGGUGAGUAACACGUGGGUAACCUGCCCUAAAGUGGGGGAUAACAUUUGGAAACAGAUGCUAAUACCGCAUAAAACCUAGCACCGCAUGGUGCAAGGUUGAAAGAUGGUUUCGGCUAUCACUUUAGGAUGGACCCGCGGUGCAUUAGUUAGUUGGUGAGGUAAAGGCUCACCAAGACCGUGAUGCAUAGCCGACCUGAGAGGGUAAUCGGCCACACUGGGACUGAGACACGGCCCAGACUCCUACGGGAGGCAGCAGUAGGGAAUCUUCCACGAUGGACGAAAGUCUGAUGGAGCAACGCCGCGUGAGUGAAGAAGGUUUUCGGAUCGUAAAACUCUGUUGUUGGAGAAGAACGUAUUUGAUAGUAACUGAUCAGGUAGUGACGGUAUCCAACCAGAAAGCCACGGCUAACUACGUG